rnacentral:rRNA from 1 species
UACUCCCGCCGGCGACCGGCGCACGGGUGAGUAACACGUAUGAAACCUGCCCGUAGCAGGGGGAUAAGCGGAAGAAAUUCCGUCUAAUACCGCGUAACAACCCGAGGAGGCAUCUCCUCGGGUUUAAAGGAAGCGAUUCCGGCUACGGAUGGUCAUGCGUCGCAUUAGCUAGUUGGCGGGGUAACGGCCCACCAAGGCGACGAUGCGUAGGGGUUCUGAGAGGAAGGUCCCCCACACUGGUACUGAGACACGGACCAGACUCCUACGGAAGGCAGCA